rnacentral:tRNA from 1 species
GGGAAAGUGGCUUAAUGGUAGAGUGCUUGCCUUGCAUGCAUGAGGCCCUGGGUUCAAUUCCUCAGUACCA